UGAAGUUCGAACAUCUAGUGAUUCAACAUGCUCUGCAUUGAACGAGGAAAAAAAAAAAAAAAAAAAAAAA
rnacentral:ribozyme from 11 species